rnacentral:rRNA from 1 species
AGAGUUCGAUUAUGGCUCAGGAUGAACGCUAGCUACAGGCUUAACACAUGCAAGUCGAGGGGAAACGACAUCGAAAGCUUGCUUUUGAUGGGCGUCGACCGGCGCACGGGUGAGUAACGCGUAUCCAACCUGCCCACCACUUGGGGAUAACCUUGCGAAAGUAAGACUAAUACCCAAUGAUAUCUCUAGAAGACAUCUGAAAGAGAUUAAAGAUUUAUCGGUGAUGGAUGGGGAUGCGUCUGAUUAGCUUGUUGGCGGGGUAACGGCCCACCAAGGCAACGAUCAGUAGGGGUUCUGAGAGGAAGGUCCCCCACAUUGGAACUGAGACACGGUCCAA